rnacentral:tRNA from 1 species
GGUUAUGGCUCAGUGGUAGAGUGCUUGCCUCGCACAUGCGGGGCCCUGGGUUGGAUCCUCAGCACCA